ACAAUGAAAAUCCUGGUAGAAUGAAAUCAGGGAUGACAUUCACAAUCGAGCCAAUUCUUAUUGAGGGGCAUACAGAUUUUGAGAUUUUAGAAGAUGGUUGGACGUGUGUAUCAUCGGAUGGAACCAGAUCAGCGCAGUUUGAACAUACCA